AGAGGAGCUGCCCCUAGUACGAGAGGACCGGGGUGGACGGACCACUGGUGUAUCAGCUGUCGACCAACGGCAUAGCUGAGUAGCCAAGUCUGGACGGGAUAAACGCUGAAGGCAUCUAAGCGUGAAGCCCCCCUCAAGAUGAGAUAUCCCAUUCCUUCAAGGAAAUAAGAUCCCUUAUAGACGAUAAGGUAGAUAGGUUCAAGGUGUAAGUGCGGUAACGCAUUCAGCUGAUGAAUACUAAUAGAUCGAAGGUUUAUUCU
rnacentral:rRNA from 1 species